ACACUGUUGAGUGGAGGACUCAUCACCAGUUCAGCCUUGACAUAAAUCAUGUUCACUUCAUAUCUCUUGCUGUUGCUGGCUGCAGUGUCUGGUAUUGACUCUCAGGUUGUGCUCACACAGUCUGAACAGUCAGUAGUUGUGACUCCAGGUGGUUCCCACAAACUGACCUGUGCCUGCAGUGGAUUCACUCUUAGUAGCACUUACAUGCAUUGGAUCCGUCAGGCACCUGGAAAAGGACUCGAAUGGAUUAUUUAUUAUUAUUCAGAUUCUGAUAAGAGCUCAGCUCAGUCAGUGCAGGGCAGGUUCACAGCAUCUAAGGACAGCUCUAAUUUCUAUCUGCACAUGAAUCAGCUGAAGACUGAAGACACUGCGGUGUAUUACUGUGCAAGAGAGACACUGUGGAAACACUAAUACAGACAGCUGUUCAAAA